rnacentral:rRNA from 1 species
UACGGGGGGGGCAAGCGUUGUUCGGAAUUACUGGGCGUAAAGGGCUCGUAGGUGGCCAACUAAGUCAUACGUGAAAUCCCUCGGCUUAACCGGGGAACUGCGCCUGAUACUGGUUGGCUUGAGUUUGGGAGAGGGACGCGGAAUUCCAGGUGUAGCGGUGAAAUGCGUAGAUAUCAUUUGGAACGCCAAUGGUGAAAACAGGUAGCUGGGAGUGUGCUGACGCUGAGACACGAAAGCCAGGGGAGCAAACGGG